rnacentral:rRNA from 1 species
AGAGUUUGAUCCUGGCUCAGAAUGAACGCUGGCGGCGUGCCUAACACAUGCAAAGUCGUACGAGAAAAGGGGCUUCGGGCCCUGAGUAGAGUGGCGCACGGGUGAGUAACGCGUGGGUAAUCUGCCCUUGGAUUUGGGAUAACUUCGCGAAAGUGGAGCUAAUACCGGAUAGUCUGGCUUUUAAUAGAAGUCGGUAAAGGAUGCCUCUGCAUAUGCAUUCGUCCGAGGAUGAGCCCGCGUCUCAUUAGCUAGUUGGUAGGGUAAUGGCCUACCAAGGCAACGAUGAGUAACUGGUCUGAGAGGAUGAUCAGUCACACUGGAACUGAGACACGGYCCAGACUCCUACGGGAGGCAGCAGUGGGGAAUUUUGCGCAAUGGGGGCAACCCUGACGCAGCGACGCCGCGUGGAUGAUGAAGGCCCUUGGGUCGUAAAAUCCUGUCAGAUGGAAAGAAAUGUACAGGUGUUAAUAUCGCCUGUAUUUGACGGUACCAUCAAAGGAAGCACCGGCUAACUCCGUGCCAGCCGCCGCGGUAAUA